AACAUACAAAUAAAGACAUUAGGAAAUGGAGAGAAGCUCUGACAGAAGCAGCCAAUCUGUCUGGGUGGGAUUUAGAGAAAACUGCUGAUGGGCACGAGGCCAAAGUCAUCAAGUUAAUUGUUCAGCAUAUUUCACUUGAGUUGCGGUCAAUCAAUGUGAACCUUGAUGAUAAAUUAGUAGGCAUGGAACCCCGGCUACAGGACCUUGAGGAGUCUUUAGAUAUAGCGUCCAACGAGGUUCGCAUGAUAGGGAUCAAAGGGAUGGGAGGUGCUGGUAAGACAACACUAGCCAGAGCGGUGUUUGAUAGAAUAUCGGUUCACUUUGAAGCUAAAAGCUUUGUUGAGAAUGUCAGAGAAGUUUCAAAGGCGUCAUUGUCCGGUUUGUUGUCACUGCAACAAAAGAUCCUUUCAGAACUGCUAAAUGGUCAAGGAAACAACGUAGGUAGUGUCCAUGAAGGGACAAAGAUGUUGAAAACAAAGCUGUGUAGUAAAAAGGUUCUUUUGGUUUUAGAU
rnacentral:lncRNA from 1 species